UGUUGGUUCUCCCGCAACGCUACUCUGUUUACCAGUCAGGUCCGGAAGGAAGCAGCCAGAGCAGACGACGUGUGUGCCGGGAUGUAGCUGGCAGGG
rnacentral:SRP_RNA from 1 species